AUGGUAGCUCCCGCAUUUACCAUUUUCAUUAACCACACCCACGUUGCUUGGGCAGAGCUUUGGUCGGGGGGAUCCAUGGACUCUUCUUCCGAUGCGCCGCUGCUGGCCGCGAGGUGGGAAGAGCCCGGCAGUACCAGCCGGCGCUGGUGUAGGGAAGCCGCGCAGCUGGCGGGGCUUGCGGCGCCGAUGGUGGUGGUGAUGCUGCUGCAGGUCACGAUGCAGUUCAUCUCCACCGUCAUGGUGGGGCACCUCGGCGACGUCGCGCUCGCCGGUGCGGCCAUCGCCAACUCCCUCACCAACGUCUCCGGCUUCAGCGUCCUUAUUGGACUGGCAGGCGGAUUGGAAACUCUUUGUGGGCAGGCCUAUGGAGCAGAACAAUAUCAUACAUUAUCUUUAUGUACCUACAGGUCCAUCAUUGCACUUCUUGUUGUGAGUGUGCCCAUCUCCAUUGUUUGGUGUUUCAUCCCGGAAGUACUUCCUCUCAUGGGCCAGGAACCACAAAUUGCAAAUGAGGCUGGCAAAUAUGCAUUAUGGCUUAUCCCUGGUUUAUUUGCCUUCGGUGUUACUCAAUGCUUUUCAAAGUUUCUGCAAUGUCAAAGCCUAAUAUUUCCAAUGGUUCUUAGCUCCUUGAUUACAAUUGCGGUAUUUCUUCCUCUUUGCUGGUUCAUGGUUUACAAAGUUGGGAUGGGUAAUGCUGGAGCUGCUUUAUCCGUUAGCAUUUGUGAUUGGGUUGAAGUGACUUUUCUUGGCCUUUACAUUAAGUUCUCACCCUCUUGUGAGAAAACACGCGCUCCACCAUCGUGGGAAGCUUUUAGAGGGAUUGGCAGUUUCAUGCGUUUGGCUGUACCAUCGGCUCUUAUGAUUUGUCUGGAGUGGUGGUCUUACGAGCUGCUUGUUCUGCUUUCCGGGAUGUUACCAAAUCCUGCACUGGAAACCUCUGUGCUUUCUAUAUGCGUAUCUACAAUGAUACUGUUGGCCAACCUUCCUUACGGCAUUGGAAUAGCUACCAGUGUGCGCGUCUCAAAUGAAUUAGGCGCCGGCAACACACAAGGUCCCCGCUUGGUGGUGUGUGUUGCCUUGUCUAUUGUGGUCUGCUCAGCAUUCUUAGUGAGCACAACUCUUCUAUUACUGCGCCACUUUAUUGGAAUUGCGUUCAGCAAUGAGGAAGAGGUCAGGCGUUAUGUCACAAGAAUGGUACCCCUACUUUCCAUUUCAGCAAUUACAGACAGCCUCAUGGCAGUCCUUCAAGGUGUGUCUCGGGGCUGUGGAUGGCAGCAUCUAGGGGCUUAUGUUAACCUGGGUGCCUUCUAUCUUGUUGGUAUCCCCGUUGCACUCUACUUUGGUUUUGCAAUGCAACUAAGAGCAAAGGGGUUUUGGAUUGGCAUACUGGCUGGUGGAGCCACACAGGUCACUCUCCUGUCUGUUAUUACGGCUACCACAAACUGGAACAAGAUGGCCGACAAGGCGAAGGAGAGAAUAUUUGAGGACAGGCUUCCAACACAAUAA
rnacentral:rRNA from 1 species